AUUGAACGCUGGCGGCAGGCCUAACACAUGCAAGUCGAACGGUAACAGAAAGCAGCUUGCUGCUUUGCUGACGAGUGGCGGACGGGUGAGUAAUGUCUGGGAAACUGCCUGAUGGAGGGGGAUAACUACUGGAAACGGUAGCUAAUACCGCAUAACGUCGCAAGACCAAAGAGGGGGACCUUCGGGCCUCUUGCCAUCGGAUGUGCCCAGAUGGGAUUAGCUAGUAGGUGGGGUAAAGGCGCACCUAGGCGACGAUCCCUAGCUGGUCUGAGAGGAUGACCAGCCACACUGGAACUGAGACACGGUCCAGACUCCUACGGGAGGCAGCAGUGGGGAAUAUUGCACAAUGGGCGCAAGCCUGAUGCAGCCAUGCCGCGUGUAUGAAGAAGGCCUUCGGGUUGUAAAGUACUUUCAUCGGGGAGGAAGAGAGUAAAGUUAAUACCUUUGCUUAUUGACGUUACCCGCAGAAUAAGCACCGGCUAACUCCGUG
rnacentral:rRNA from 1 species